UAGCUCAGUGGAUAGAGCAUCAGCCUGUGGGCUGAAGGGUCCCGGGUUCGAUUCCGGG
rnacentral:tRNA from 1 species